UACGAAGGGGGCUAGCGUUGUUCGGAUUUACUGGGCGUAAAGCGCACGUAGGCGGAUCGUUAAGUCGGGGGUGAAAUCCUGAAGCUCAACUCCAGAACUGCCUUCGAUACUGGCGAUCUUGAGUCCGGAAGAGGUGAGUGGAACUCCUAGUGUAGAGGUGGAAUUCGUAGAUAUUAGGAAGAACACCAGUGGCGAAGGCGGCUCACUGGUCCGGUACUGACGCUGAGGUGCGAAAGCGUGGGGAGCAAACAGG
rnacentral:rRNA from 1 species